UCACUUCGUGGUCCAGCAGGGCGCGGCGGUCCAGGUCGCGGGUCUCCGCCAGGUCCCAGCAGGUCGGGUCGACGCCGGCCGUGGUGAAC
rnacentral:tRNA from 1 species